rnacentral:rRNA from 1 species
CAGUAGCCGCGGUAAUGCGAAGGGGGCUAGCGUUGCUCGGAAUGACUGGGCGUAAAGGGCGCGUAGGCGGUUCGUACAGUUGGAUGUGAAAUUCCUGGGCUUAACCUGGGGGCUGCAUUCAAUACGUGCGGGCUUGAGUGUGGAAGAGGGUUGUGGAAUUCCCAGUGUAGAGGUGAAAUUCGUAGAUAUUGGGAAGAACACCGGUGGCGAAGGCGGCAACCUGGUCCAUAACUGACGCUGAGGCGCGAAAGCGUGGGGAGCAAACAGGAUUAGAUACCCCGGUAGUCCCUGUCUCUUAUAC